rnacentral:rRNA from 1 species
UACGUAGGGGGCGAGCGUUGUCCGGAGUUACUGGGCGUAAAGCGCUUGUAGGCGGUCCACCAAGUUUGGGGUGACAGUUGCCGACUUAAUCGGCAAAGUGCCUCAAAGACUGGCGGACUUGAGGGCCACAGAGGGACAUGGAACUCCAGGUGUAGUGGUGAAAUGCGCAGAUAUCAGGAGGAACACCGGUGGCGAAGGCGGCACUCUGGGCCGGUACCGACGCUGAGGAGCGAAAGCGUGGGGAGCGAACAGG